rnacentral:rRNA from 1 species
GAUGAACGCUGGCGGCGUGCCUAAUACAUGCAAGUCGAGCGAACGGACGAGAAGCUUGCUUCUCUGAUGUUAGCGGCGGACGGGUGAGUAACACGUGGAUAACCUACCUAUAAGACUGGGAUAACUUCGGGAAACCGUAGCUAAUACCGGAUAAUAUUUUGAACCGCAUGGUUCAAAAGUGAAAGACGGUCUUGCUGUCACUUAUAGAUGGAUCCGCGCUGCAUUAGCUAGUUGGUAAGGUAACGGCUUACCAAGGCAACGAUGCAUAGCCGACCUGAGAGGGUGAUCGGCCACACUGGAACUGAGACACGGUCCAGACUCCUACGGGAGGCAGCAGUAGGGAAUCUUCCGCAAUGGGCGAAAGCCUGACGGAGCAACGCCGCGUGAGUGAUGAAGGUCUUCGGAUCGUAAAACUCUGUUAUUAGGGAAGAACAGAUGUGUAAGUAACUGUGCACAUCUUGACGGUACCUAAUCAGAAAGCAACGGCUAACUACGUG